rnacentral:rRNA from 1 species
GGUGUAAAGCGUGGCAGUGAGACGGCGGGGGAUAAGCUCCGUACGUCGAAAGGGAAACAGCCCAGAUCGCCGGCUAAGGCCCCCAAGCGUGUGCUAAGUGGGAAAGGAUGUGCAGUCGCAAAGACAACCAGGAGGUUGGCUUAGAAGCAGCCACCCUUGAAAGAGUGCGUAAUAGCUCACUGGUCAAGUGAUUGUGCGCCGAUAAUGUAGCGGGGCUCAAGCACACCGCCGAAGCCGCGGCACAUCCACCUUGUGGUGGGUGUGGGUAGGGGAGCGUCCCUCAUUCAGCGAAGCCACCGGGUGACCGGUGGUGGAGGGCGGGGGAGUGAGAAUGCAGGCAUGAGUAGCGACAAGGCAAGUGAGAACCUUGCCCGCCGAAAGACCAAGGGUUCCUGGGCCAGGCCAGUCCGCCCAGGGUGAGUCGGGACCUAAGGCGAGGCCGACAGGCGUAGUCGAUGGACAACGGGUUGAUAUUCCCGUACCCGUGUGUGGGCGCCCGUGACGAAUCAGCGGUACUAACCACCCAAAACCGGAUCGAUCACUCCCCUUCGGGGGUGUGGAGUUCUGGGGCUGCGUGGGAACUUCGCUGGUAGUAGUCAAGCGAAGGGGUGACGCAGGAAGGUAGCCGUACCAGUCAGUGGUAACACUGGGGCAAGCCGGUAGGGAGAGCGAUAGGCAAAUCCGUCGCUCACUAAUCCUGAGAGGUGACGCAUAGCCGGUUGAGGCGAAUUCGGUGAUCCUCUGCUGCCAAGAAAAGCCUCUAGCGAGCACACACACGGCCCGUACCCCAAACCGACACAGGUGGUCAGGUAGAGCAUACCAAGGCGUACGAGAUAACUAUGGUUAAGGAACUCGGCAAAAUGCCCCCGUAACUUCGGGAGAAGGGGGACCGGAAUAUCGUGAACACCCUUGCGGUGGGAGCGGGAUCCGGUCGCAGAAACCAGUGAGGAGCGACUGUUUACUAAAAACACAGGUCCGUGCGAAGUCGCAAGACGAUGUAUACGGACUGACGCCUGCCCGGUGCUGGAAGGUUAAGAGGACCCGUUAACCCGCAAGGGUGAAGCGGAGAAUUUAAGCCCCAGUAAACGGCGGUGGUAACUAUAACCAUCCUAAGGUAGCGAAAUUCCUUGUCGGGUAAGUUCCGACCUGCACGAAUGGCGUAACGACUUCUCAACUGUCUCAACCAUAGACUCGGCGAAAUUGCACUACGAGUAAAGAUGCUCGUUACGCGCGGCAGGACGAAAAGACCCCGGGACCUUCACUACAACUUGGUAUUGAUGUUCGGUACGGUUUGUGUAGGAUAGGUGGGAGACGUUGAUGCGGCCACGCUAGUGGUGGUGGAGUCGUUGGUGAAAUACCACUCUGAUUGUUCUGGUUAUCUCACUGUGGACCGUGAUCCGGUUCAAGGACAGUGCCUGAUGGGUAGUUUGACUGGGGCGGUCGCCUCCUAAAGGGUAACGGAGGCGCCCAAAGGUUCCCUCAUCCUGGUUGGUAAUCAGGUGGUGAGUGUAAGUGCACAAGGGGGCUUGACUGUGAGACUGACAGGUCGAGCAGGGACGAAAGUCGGGACUAGUGAUCCGGCACCUACUUGAGGAUGUGGUGUCGCUCAACGGAUAAAAGGUACCCCGGGGAUAACAGGCUGAUCUUCCCCAAGAGUCCAUAUCGACGGGAUGGUUUGGCACCUCGAUGUCGGCUCGUCGCAUCCUGGGGCUGGAGCAGGUCCCAAGGGUUGGGCUGUUCGCCCAUUAAAGCGGCACGCGAGCUGGGUUUAGAACGUCGUGAGACAGUUCGGUCUCUAUCCGCCGCGCGCGUCAGAAACUUGAGGAAACCUGUCCCUAGUACGAGAGGACCGGGACGGACGAACCUCUGGUGCACCAGUUGUCCCGCCAGGGGCACCGCUGGAUAGCCACGUUCGGUCAGGAUAACCGCUGAAAGCAUCUAAGCGGGAAACCUUCUCCAAGAUCAGGUUUCUCACCCACUUGGUGGGAUAAGGCCCCCCGCAGAACACGGGUUCAAUAGGUCAGACCUGGAAGCUCAGUAAUGGGUGUAGGGAACUGGUGCUAACCGGCCGAAAACUUACAACACCC